CUUACUAGAGAUAGUUUGGUGCNUUCGGGAAUCCAGUGACAGGUGCUGCAUGGCUGUCGUNAGCUNGUGUCGUGAGAUGUUGGGUUAAGUCCCGUAACGAGCGCAACCCCUGUCCCUAGUUGCCAGCACAUAAUGGUGGGAACUCUAGGGWGACUGCCGGUGACAAACCGGAGGAAGGUGGGGAUGACGUCAAGUCAUCAUNNCCCUUAUGGGCUGGGCUACACACGUGCUACAAUGGCCGGUACAGAGGGCUGCCNACCCGCAAGGGGGAGCUAAUCUCAGAAAACCGGYCGUAGUCCGGAUUGGAGUCUGCAACUCGACUCCAUGAAGUCGGAAUCGCUAGUAAUCGCAGAUCAGAAUGCUGCGGUSAAUACGUU
rnacentral:rRNA from 1 species